GAGGGUAUAGCUUGGAGGUAGAGUGUGUGCCUAAUAGGCACAAGGUACUGGGUUCCAUCCCCAGUACCUCCA
rnacentral:tRNA from 1 species